CACGCUGUAAACGAUGCGAACUAGGUGUUGGUAGUAUUAAACCUAUCAGUGCCGUAGCUAACGCGAUAAGUUCGCCGCCUGGGGACUACGGCCGCAAGGCUAAAACUCAAAGGAAUUGAC
rnacentral:rRNA from 1 species